UCCCUGGUGGUCCAGUGGUUAGGACUCGGCGCUUUCACUGCAGUGAGCCCGGGUUCAAUCCCUGGUCAGGGAA